rnacentral:lncRNA from 1 species
CCAGCUCCAGACUUCAAUUAAACUGACUGAAAGAUUAUGAUUUCAUCAUAUGAACAUCAAGCACAAUCCUUCCCGUUAGGGGUUUAGUAUCAAACCAUCAUAACAUAUAUAAGUAGAACAUUACCCGUGUCAUGCCAACAACUGUUUUUAGAAUAAAUGUGUUUAGUUUCGGUGCAAAGACCUUAUCAGUGACUCAAUAUUAACG